rnacentral:rRNA from 1 species
UACAGAGGUCUCAAGCGUUGUUCGGAUUCAUUGGGCGUAAAGGGUGCGUAGGCGGCGCGGUAAGUCGGGUGUGAAAGCCCCGGGCUUAACUUGGGAAUUGCGCUCGAAACUACUUUGCUGGAGUGUGGCAGAGGAAGGUGGAAUUCCACGUGUAGCGGUGAAAUGCGUAGAGAUGUGGAGGAACACCAAUGGCGAAGGCAGCCUUCUGGGCCAACGCUGACGCUCAUGCACGAAAGCGUGGGGAGCAAACAGG